GACGAACGCCGGCGGCGUGCUUAACACAUGCAAGUCGAACGGAAAGGCCCUGCUUUUGUGGGGUGCUCGAGUGGCGAACGGGUGAGUAACACGUGAGUAACCUGCCCUUGACUUUGGGAUAACUUCAGGAAACUGGGGCUAAUACCGGAUAGGAGCUCCUGCUGCAUGGUGGGGGUUGGAAAGUUUCGGCGGUUGGGGAUGGACUCGCGGCUUAUCAGCUUGUUGGUGGGGUAGUGGCUUACCAAGGCUUUGACGGGUAGCCGGCCUGAGAGGGUGACCGGCCACAUUGGGACUGAGAUACGGCCCAGACUCCUACGGGAGGCAGCAGUGGGGAAUAUUGCACAAUGGGCGGAAGCCUGAUGCAGCAACGCCGCGUGCGGGAUGACGGCCUUCGGGUUGUAAACCGCUUUCGCCUGUGACGAAGCGUGAGUGACGGUAAUGGGUAAAGAAGCACCGGCUAACUACGUGCCAGCAGCCGCGGUGAUACGUAGGGUGCGAGCGUUGUCCGGAUUUAUUGGGCGUAAAGGGCUCGUAGGUGGUUGAUCGCGUCGGAAGUGUAAUCUUGGGGCUUAACCCUGAGCGUGCUUUCGAUACGGGUUGACUUGAGGAAGGUAGGGGAGAAUGGAAUUCCUGGUGGAGCGGUGGAAUGCGCAGAUAUCAGGAGGAACACCAGUGGCGAAGGCGGUUCUCUGGGCCUUUCCUGACGCUGAGGAGCGAAAGCGUGGGGAGCGAACAGGCUUAGAUACCCUGGUAGUCCACGCUGUAAACGGUGGGUACUAGGUGUGGGGUCCAUUCCACGGGUUCCGUGCCGUAGCUAACGCUUUAAGUACCCCGCCUGGGGAGUACGGCCGCAAGGCUAAAACUCAAAGGAAUUGACGGGGCCCCGCACAAGCGGCGGAGCAUGCGGAUUAAUUCGAUGCAACGCGUAGAACCUUACCUGGGUUUGACAUGGAUCGGGAGCGCUCAGAGAUGGGUGUGCCUCUUUUGGGGUCGGUUCACAGGUGGUGCAUGGCUGUCGUCAGCUCGUGUCGUGAGAUGUUGGGUUAAGUCCCGCAACGAGCGCAACCCUUGUUCACUGUUGCCAGCACGUUAUGGUGGGGACUCAGUGGAGACCGCCGGGGUCAACUCGGAGGAAGGUGGGGAUGACGUCAAGUCAUCAUGCCCCUUAUGUCCAGGGCUUCACGCAUGCUACAAUGGCUGGUACAGAGAGUGGCGAGCCUGUGAGGGUGAGCGAAUCUCGGAAAGCCGGUCUCAGUUCGGAUUGGGGUCUGCAACUCGACCUCAUGAAGUCGGAGUCGCUAGUAAUCGCAGAUCAGCAACGCUGCGGUGAAUACGUUCCCGGG
rnacentral:rRNA from 1 species